rnacentral:rRNA from 1 species
GACAUCGAAAGCUUGCUUCCGAUAGGCGUCGACCGGCGCACGGGUGAGUAACGCGUAUCCAACCUGCCCGUCACUUGGGAAUAACCUGCGAAAGUAAGACUAAUGCCCAAUGACAUUUAUAGAAGGCAUCUGAAAUGAAUUAAAGAUUUAUCGGUGAUGGAUGGGGAUGCGUCUGAUUAGCUUGUUGGCGGGGUAACGGCCCACCAAGGCGACGAUCAGUAGGGGUUCUGAGAGGAAGGUCCCCCACAUUGGAACUGAGACACGGUCCAAACUCCUACGGGAGGCAGCAGUGAGGAAUAUUGGUCAAUGGGCGAGAGCCUGAACCAGCCAAGUAGCGUGCAGGAAGACGGCCCUAUGGGUUGUAAACUGCUUUUAUAGGGGAAUAAAGUGAGCCACGUGUGGCUUUUUGCAUGUACCCUAUGAAUAAGGACCGGCUAAUUCCGUG